rnacentral:tRNA from 1 species
GCCCUGUGGUGUACAGCACAUAAGAUUGCAAAUCUUAAAGAGUAAUGACUUCUACCGGGGCUU